rnacentral:rRNA from 1 species
GUAGCUGGUCUGAGAGGAUGAUCAGCCACACUGGAACUGAAACACGGUCCAGACUCUACGGGAGGCAGCAGUGGGGAAUAUUGCGCAAUGGGCGAAAGCCUGACGCAGCAACGCCGUGUGAGGGAUGAAGGCUUUCGGGUCGUAAACCUCUGUCGGAAGGGAAGAACGGGCAUUGGUCUAAUAGGCCUUUGUUUUGACGGUACCUUUAGAGGAAGCACCGGCUAACUCCGUGCCAGCAGCCGCGGUAAUACGGAGGGUGCAAGCGUUAUUCGGAAUUACUGGGCGUAAAGCGCACGUAGGCGGCCUUGUAAGUCAGGGGUGAAAUCCCACGGCUCAACCGUGGAACUGCCUUUGAAACUGCAGGGCUUGAAUCCUGGAGAGGGUGGCGGAAUUCCUGGUGUAGGAGUGAAAUCCGUAGAUAUCAGGAGGAACACCGGUGGCGAAGGCGGCCACCUGGACAGGUAUUGACGCUGAGGUGCGAAAGUGUGGGGAGCAAACAGGAUUAGAUACCCUGGUAGUCCACACCGUAAACGAUGGAUACUAGGUGUCGGGGACUUGAUCUUCGGUGCCGUAGCUAACGCGUUAAGUAUCCCGCCUGGGGAGUACGGUCGCAAGGCUGAAACUCAAAGAAAUUGACGGGGGCCGCACAAGCGGUGGAGUAUGUGGUUUAAUUCGAUGCAACGCGAAGAACCUUACCUAGGCUUGACAUCCUGGGAAUCCUGCAGAGAUGCGGGAGUGCCUUCGGGAAUCCAGAGACAGGUGCUGCAUGGCUGUCGUCAGCUCGUGCCGUGAGUGUUCGGUUAAGUCCGCACGAGCGCA